CCAGUGGCCAAGGUCCGAGGGGUAACAUUGUGCUUGCACAGAUGACGACCGGCGCACGGGUGCGUAACGCGUAUAGAACCUACCUUUUACAGGGGAAUAGCCUUUAGAAAUGAAGAUUAAUGCCCCAUGGUAUUAUAGACUAGCAUCAGUUUAUAAUUAAAGAUUUAUCGGUAAAAGAUGGCUAUGCGUCCUAUUAGUUAGUUGGUAAGGUAACGGCUUACCAAGACUUCGAUAGGUAGGGGUCCUGAGAGGGAGAUCCCCCACACUGGUACUGAGACACGGACCAGACUCCUACGGGAGGCAGCAGUGAGGAAUAUUGGACAAUGGAGGCGACUCUGAUCCAGCCAUGCCGCGUGUAGGAAGAAUGCCCUAUGGGUUGUAAACUACUUUUAUACAGGAAGAAACACUGGUAUGUAUACCAGCUUGACGGUACUGUAAGAAUAAGGACCGGCUAACUCCGUGCCAGCAGCCGCGGUAAC
rnacentral:rRNA from 1 species